rnacentral:rRNA from 1 species
UACAGAGGUGGCAAGCGUUGUUCGGAAUUACUGGGCGUAAAGGGCGCGUAGGCGGCCUUCUAAGUCAGACGUGAAAUCCCCCGGCUUAACCUGGGAACUGCGUCUGAUACUGGGAGGCUUGAGUAUGGGAGAGGGAUGUAGAAUUCCAGGUGUAGCGGUGAAAUGCGUAGAUAUCUGGAGGAACACCGAUGGCGAAGGCAGGUCUCUGGGCCACUACUGACGCUGAGAAGCGAAAGCAUGGGGAGCGAACAGG